GGCUCGGUGGUGGAUGGUCCAUCCCUGUCUUCUGUACUGGGUUGCCAAAUGACUUGAGCAGGAGAAGCCUGUUCGAAUCAGGCCCGAGCCA